AUUGAACGCUGGCGGAAUGCUUUACACAUGCAAGUCGAACGGUAGAGGGGGCAACCCCUCGAGAGUGGCGAACGGGUGAGUAAUAUAUCGGAACGUGCCCAGUCGUGGGGGAUAACGUAGCGAAAGUUACGCUAAUACCGCAUACGAUCUAAGGAUGAAAGCGGGGGAUCGCAAGACCUCGCGCGAUUGGAGCGGCCGAUAUCAGAUUAGGUAGUUGGUGGGGUAAAGGCUCACCAAGCCAACGAUCUGUAGCUGGUCUGAGAGGACGACCAGCCACACUGGAACUGAGACACGGUCCAGACGCCUACGGGAGGCAGCAGUGGGGAAUUUUGGACAAUGGACGCAAGUCUGAUCCAGCCAUUCCGCGUGCAGGAUGAAGGCCCUCGGGUUGUAAACUGCUUUUGUACGGAACGAAAAGGUCUCUCUUAAUACGGGGGACUCAUGACGGUACCGUAAGAAUAAGCACCGGCUAACUACGUGCCAGCAGCCGCAGUAACAC
rnacentral:rRNA from 1 species